rnacentral:rRNA from 1 species
GGGAUAGCCUUUCGAAAGAAAGAUUAAUACCCGAUGGCAUAGUUCUUCCGCAUGGUAGAACUAUUAAAGAAUUUCGGUCAUCGAUGGGGAUGCGUUCCAUUAGGUUGUUGGCGGGGUAACGGCCCACCAAGCCUUCGAUGGAUAGGGGUUCUGAGAGGAAGGUCCCCCACAUUGGAACUGAGACACGGUCCAAACUCCUACGGGAGGCAGCAGUGAGGAAUAUUGGUCAAUGGACGAGAGUCUGAACCAGCCAAGUAGCGUGAAGGAUGACUGCCCUAUGGGUUGUAAACUUCUUUUAUACGGGAAUAAAGUGAGGCACGUGUGCCUUUUUGUAUGUACCGUAUGAAUAAGGAUCGGCUAACUCCGUGCCAGCAGCCGCGGUAAUACGGAGGAUCCGAGCGUUAUCCGGAUUUAUUGGGUUUAAAGGGAGCGUAGGCGGACGCUUAAGUCAGUUGUGAAAGUUUGCGGCUCAACCGUAAAAUUGCAGUUGAUACUGGGUGUCUUGAGUACAGUAGAGGCAGGCGGAAUUCGUGGUGUAGCGGUGAAAUGCUUAGAUAUCACGAAGAACUCCGAUUGCGAAGGCAGCCUGCUGGACUGUAACUGACGCUGAUGCUCGAAAGUGUGGGUAUCAAACAGGAUUAGAUACCCUGGUAGUCCACACAGUAAACGAUAAAGACUCGCUGUUUGCGAUAUACAGUAAGCGGCCAAG